rnacentral:lncRNA from 1 species
GAUCGUGGUGUAUAUGUGGUUGAUUGUGGUGUGUAUGUAGUGAUGGUGUUGUAUGUGUGGUGAUGGUGGUGUGUGUGGUUAUGGUGGUGUAUAUGUGGUGAUGGUGGUGUAUGUGUGUUUAUGGUUGUGUGUAUGUGGUGAUGGUGGUGUAUGUGUGGUGAUGGUGCUGUGUGUGGUUAUAGUGGUGUAUGUGUGGUGAUCGUGGUAUAUGUGUGGUGACUGUGGUGUGUAUGUGGUGAUGGUGGUGUGUGUGUGUUGAUGGUGGUGUGUGUGGUUAUGGUGGUGUGUGUGAGGUGAUAGUGGUGUAUGUGUGGUGAUGGUGGUAUGUAUGUGGUGAUGGUGGUGUGUGUGUGGUGAUGGUGCUGUUUGUGUGGUUAUGGUGGUGUGUGAGAGGUGAUAGUGGUGUAUGUGUGGUGAUCGUGGUGUAUGUGUGGUGUUGGUGGAUUAUGUGUGGUGAUUUUGGUAAAUGUAUUGUGAUGGUGGUGUAUGUGUGGUUAUGGUGGUGUAUGUGUGGUGAUGGUGGUGUGUGUGUGGUGAUGGUGGUGUGUGUGUGGUGAUGGUGGUUUGUGUGUGGUGAUGGUGGUGUGUAUGUGGUGAUGGUGGUGUGUGUGUGGUUAUUGUGUUGUAUGUGUGCUGUUGGUGGUGUUUGUGUGGUGAUGGUGGUGUAUGUGUGGUGAUGGUGGUAUGUGUGUCGUGAUGGUGGUGUGUGUGUGGUGAUGGUGGAUUAUUUGUGGUGAAGGUGGUGUGUAUGUGGUGAUGGUGGUGUGUGUGUGGUGAUGGUGGUGUGUGUGGUUAUUGUGUUGUAUGUGUGCUGUUGGUGGUGUUUGUGUGGUGAUGGUGGUGUAUGUGUGGUGAUGGUGGUGUGUAUGUUGUGAUGGUAGUGUUUGUGUGGUGAUGGUGGUGUGUAUGUGGUGAUGGUAUUGUUUGUGUGGUGAUGAUGGUGUGUAUGUGGUGAUGGUGGUGUGUGUGGUUAUGGUGGUGUAUGUAUGGUGAUCGUGCUGUAUGUGUGGUGUUGGUGGAUUAUGUGUGGUGAUUUUUGUAAAUGUAUUGUGA